UAAGGAAUAUUGGGCAAUGGACGCAAGUCUGACCCAGCGACACCGCGUGUAUGAAGAAGGUCUUCGGAUUGUAAAGUACUGUUCCGUGUUAAGAAGAUUAUCCAGCCAAUAACUGAGGUAGUCGGACUAAGGCGCGGGAGGAAGAGAUUGCUAACUCUGUGCCAGCAGCAGCGGUAAUACAGAGAUCUCAACCGUUGUUCGGAAUCACUGGGCUUAAAGGGUGUGUAGGCGGCGCACUAAGUUGAUUGUGAAAUCCUCUGGCUUACCCAGAGAAGAGCAGUCAAAACUGGAGUGCUAGAGUAUGGUAGGGGGGAGUGGAACUUCUGGUGGAGCGGUUAAAUGCGUUGAUAUCAGAAGGAACGCCGGAGGCGAAAGCGACUCUCUGGGCCAUAACUGACGCUGAGGCACGAAAGCCAGGGGAGCAAACA
rnacentral:rRNA from 1 species